GGCCAAGCUAUGCAACUGUAGUAAAAGUUUGAAAUAAAGAUACUUUAUUCAUCCGGUUAAAGUUGAACGAGCAUUGCACAUUAUUUAGAAAUACUUUAUAAUUGCUGUAAAAGUAAUGUUUAAUAUCAAUUUGUUGUGAGAAUUUGAUGAGUUUCAAACGAACUAAAGAAAAUAAAAUUUAUGAUAGAAAUUUAAAGGAAAAAAUUAUACUCUCAAAGCUCAACUUCUAUGAUUUGAAUUAUUUGUGAUAAUGAAAUACUAAAAAUGAGCAAUAUUUUUAUACCGCAUUUGGUACAUAAAAAUUAAUUGCUAAUACAUGAAUUUAAACACCCAUUAAAAUUUCUGAAUACACGAAUCGAAAGAAAUUCAUCUAUAAUAAAUCUAGGUUCAUGUAAAUCAAGAUUCAUUGAACUUAGAUUACUAUGAAUGUUAAUUAAUUGAGAAUUAAUAACAUGAAAUUCAUACAUGACAAGAAUUUUUUAGUAUUUAUUACAUAUUGAAAAAGAAAAGUAAAGUAUUAUUGAAUUAAUUAAACUGUAGUAGGUUUAAAAUCGUUCAAAAAAUUAUUCUUACUUGAUAUGAUAUUUAAUAUAUUAUAAAUAAUAUGUUAAAGAAAAUUCAAGUACCGAGAUUUCAUUGUAUUGAUAGCAUAAAACAUGCAUAAUAGUAGAAAUAAUCUCCUACUUACAGUGGGCAAGAGUUAUAAUGCUCACCUGCUGACAUGAUGUUAAAAACAUUUUUUUAUUUUAAAAAAUGAAAAAAAAUACAACUCAAUCAUUGAGGUGAUGACGCCACAUCGAUAGUGGACAAUCGUUAUCUAGUCAUCUAUAAGCAAGAGACAUGCAUAAUAAUUAUAAGACUUUCUCCUAUGAAUCGUUCUCCAAUUGCUUGAUUUUGUUAAGAGAUAGAAUUUCACAAUAAAUAAAAAUGAAAAUAUAGACUAAUUUAU
rnacentral:lncRNA from 1 species